rnacentral:misc_RNA from 1 species
UCUCCGUAGGUGAACCUGCGGAAGGAUCAUUACAGAGUUCAUGCCCUCACGGGUAGAUCUCCCACCCUUGAAUAUUUAUACCUUAGUUGCUUUGGCAGGCCGUGGAAACACCAUGGGCUCCGGCUUAUGCGUGCCUGCCAGAGGAAACAAACUCUGUUUUUAGUGAUGUCUGAGUACUAUACAAUAGUUAAAACUUUCAACAACGGAUCUCUUGGUUCUG